CUGACAUUAUACUGUGGUUCACUGCAGCAGCUUGACUUUGCUUCUUCUUCUUCUUCUUCUUCUUCUUCGUCUUUUCGAAAUAAAGAGUUGGUCGAUGAUCAGAAGUUGCAGUUUUGUGUUAUGGAUUCAACUUGACUCACCGCCGACGUCCCUGGUUUCCGUUUGUUUGUCUCCGUGCUCACACCAGUAUCUCGUCAAAGCAGUGGGUAUGAAGAGGCUCUCCACCAGCAGUUGGUGCAUGUCGGAGGGUCAAUUUCUCGAAACUAGGAAAAAGAAGAACACGAUGCAUUGUUGAACUGUUUUCAGAUUUACGUGUACUAGACCCAAGCCAUGUUUUCACAUAAUCUACAACCCACAAGAAGCAGAAGCAAAGGGAAACAAGACUGAGCACCAGGUUUCACCUCAAAAGCAAGCUCUAGUUUUAAGUUAUCAAAAGCAAGUUUUAUGAAGUUCACUUGCUCAACCAAGUAGACACCGCAAGUGAGUUAGAGUCGACACAAAAACUCCCUGUUGGAGAAGCUAAAACCUCUAAACAAAACGCAAGACCCACCGGCUGAAACCUUCUCCAAAUUGUGCUUCCAGACAUGGUUGAUCUCGAUCAUGCCUCGGAUCGGUAACCAUGCUGAGAGCAAGUGAUCAACCGACUUGGCAACUGCGCUUGGGGCUGUUUAAGUGUCAGACAAGAUUUGUGAAAACUCGCUUGGUGCAGAUGGUGCGAGUGUGAAAGCCACAAGCACAGGCUCUAGAUUCGAGUUGGUGCCAUGCAGGAGCAUCAGCUUUGAGGAGCCUUGACGUGCUUCAAGGUGGGUGAAGGCAGCGCAGGCAUGCGUCGGGUUGUGAGUGCAAGAUGGAGCUCGAUGGGCCCAGGAACGUGCUCAACGUGGAGCAUGCCAGAGGAUGAUGGAGAUGACGGGAAGUGCAAGCUCUGCAGCCGACAGCACCAUCCUCUUCUUCUUUCUCAACAUCAAUACUUGCAGGGCCUGAUAUAUAUAUAUAUAUAUAUAUAAACUAACAAGACAGGCCAACACAAACACAUUCUUGUAAAAAUUAAGAGUAGCUUUGUAAAGAAAACUUACACGACCUUCCUAAGGAGAGGAUCAAUCAUGCCAUUUGUGGGUCCACAACCUGAAUCGGACACUGUCACCAUUUUGCAGUUUUGUUUUUGUUUUUGUUUUUUGUUCUUAGUGUUACGACAUUUUGUGUUGUGCUUUUAUGUCGUGAGUGGACUGUUCCGAUGUCAAGCGGAAGAAGAAACGGCGACUUAAUUGACAUCGACUCGAGUUGCAUUUCUAGCAUUGAAAUCCAGAAUGCUUUGAAAAGUAAAUAAUCUUCUUCCAGAUUGUUCCGUAUUCA